rnacentral:rRNA from 1 species
UUGAACGCUGGCGGCAGGCCUCACACAUGCAAGUCGCACGGUAACAGGAAACAGCUUGCUGUUUCGCUGACGAGUGGCGGACGGGUGAGUAAUGUCUGGGAAACUGCCUGAUGGAGGGGGAUAACUACUGGAAACGGUAGCUAAUACCGCAUAACGUCGCAAGACCAAAGAGGGGGACCCUCGGGCCUCUUGCCAUCGGAUGUGCCCAGAUGGGAUUAGCUUGUUGGUGGGGUAACGGCUCACCAAGGCGACGAUCCCUAGCUGGUCUGAGAGGAUGACCAGCCACACUGGAACUGAGACACGGUCCAGACUCCUACGGGAGGCAGCAGUGGGGAAUAUUGCACAAUGGGCGCAAGCCUGAUGCAGCCAUGCCGCGUGUAUGAAGAAGGCCUUCGGGUUGUAAAGUACUUUCAGCGGGGAGGAAGGGAGUAAAGUUAAUACCUUUGCUCAUUGACGUUACCCGCAGAAGAAGCACCGGCUAACUCCGUG